rnacentral:misc_RNA from 1 species
UUUCCGUAAGUGAACCUGCGGAAGGAUCAUUAUUGUAUAACCGAGGUGCGAGGGCAGUCGCUGACCCGAAAGGUCGUGCACGCCCGAGUGCCCUCACACACAUCCAUCUCACCCCUAUGUGCACCACCGCGUGGGUCCCCCUUUGGCUUGUUCGGAGGGGGGCUUACGUUUUCACACAAACUUUGUAUGCAGUGUAGAAUGUAUUUUUUGUUUUUGCGAUCACGCAAUCAAUACAACUUUCAACAACGGAUCUCUUGGCUCUC